GGCUUUGAAGUGUUAUCACGUCAGAUUGCAAAUCUGAAGAUGCCAGCUAAUCGCUGGCCGGGGCCU
rnacentral:tRNA from 1 species